UUUUAUUUGAGAGUUUGAUCCUGGCUCAGGAUGAACGCUGGCGGCGUGCCUAACACAUGCAAGUUGAGCGAUUUACUUCGGUAAAGAGCGGCGGCCGGGGGAGUAACGCGUGGGUAACCUACCCUGUACACACGGAUAACAUACCGAAAGGUAUGCUAAUACGGGAUAAUAUACUUGAGAGGCAUCGCUUAAAUAUCCAAGGUGAGCCCGUACAGGAUGGACCCGCGUCUGAUUAGCUAGUUGGUAAGGUAACGGCUUACCAAGGCGACGAUCAGUAGCCGACCUG
rnacentral:rRNA from 1 species